rnacentral:rRNA from 1 species
UGGGGGAUAUUGCACAAUGGGCGAAAGCCUGAUGCAGCGACGCCGCGUGGGGGGUGAAGGCUUUCGGGUUGUAAACCUCUUUCGCUAUCGAACAAGGCCCGCUUAGGGUGGGUUGAGGGUAGGUGGAGAAGAAGCGCCGGCUAACUACGUGCCAGCAGCCGCGGUAAUACGUAGGGCGCGAGCGUUGUCCGGAAUUAUUGGGCGUAAAGGGCUUGUAGGCGGCUUGUUGCGCCUGCUGUGAAAACGCGGGGCUUAACUUCGCGCGUGCAGGGGGUACGGGCAGGCUUGAGUGUGGUAGGGGUGACUGGAAUUCCAGGUGUAGCGGUGGAAUGCGCAGAUAUCUGGAGGAACACCGAUGGCGAAGGCAGGUCACUGGGCCAUUACUGACGCUGAGGAGCGAAAGCAUGGGUAGCGAACAGG